CCCUUAGAUGUUCUGGGCCGCACACGCGCUACACUGAAGGAGGCAGCGUGUACUCCUGGAUCGAAAGAUUUGGGUAACCCGCGAAUCUCCUUCGUGCUAGGGAUUGAGGUUUGCAAUUAUCCUUCAUGAACGAGGAAUUCCCAGUAAGUGCAAGUCAUAAGCUUGCGCUGACUACGUCCCUGCCCUUUGUACACACCGCCCGUCGCUACUACCGAUUGAAUGAUUUAGUGAGGACUUCGGACUGGGACCGAUGCGGCUUUCGGGCUGCGUCGGUAUUCUGGAAAGAUGUCCAAACUGUNUNAUAUAGNGGAAGUAAAANUCGUANCA
rnacentral:rRNA from 1 species